rnacentral:rRNA from 1 species
AGUGAACGCUGGCGGUAGGCCUAACACAUGCAAGUCGAACGGCAGCACAGUAAGAGCUUGCUCUUACGGGUGGCGAGUCGCGGACGGGUGAGGAAUACAUCGGAAUCUACUUUUUCGUGGGGGAUAACGUAGGGAAACUUACGCUAAUACCGCAUACGACCUACGGGUGAAAGCAGGGGAUCUUCGGACCUUGCGCGAUUGAAUGAGCCGAUGUCGGAGUAGCUAGUUGGCGGGGUAAAGGCCCACCAAGGCGACGAUCCGUAGCUGGUCUGAGAGGAUGAUCAGCCACACUGGAACUGAGACACGGUCCAGACUCCUACGGGAGGCAGCAGUGGGGAAUAUUGGACAAUGGGCGCAAGCCUGAUCCAGCCAUACCGCGUGGGUGAAGAAGGCCUUCGGGUUGUAAAGCCCUUUUGUUGGGAAAGAAAAGCAGCAGGUUAAGACCCCGCUGUUCUGACGGUACCCAAAGAAUAAGCACCGGCUAACUUCGUG